CCUACGGGUGGCAGCAGUGGGGGAUAUUGCACAAUGGGGGGAACCCUGAUGCAGCGACGCCGCGUGGGUGAAGAAGCGCCUCGGCGCGUAAAGCCCUGUCAGCAGGGAAGAAAAUGACGGUACCUGAAGAAGAAGCCCCGGCUAACUACGUGCCAGCAGCCGCGGUAAUACGGAGGGGGCAAGCGUUAUCCGGAUUUACUGGGUGUAAAGGGGGCGCAGACGGGGAUGCAAGCCAGGAGUGAAAGCCCGGGGCUCAACCCCGGGACUGCACUUGAAACUGCGUGGCUGGAGUGCAGGAGGGGCAGGCGGAAUUCCUGGUGUAGCGGUGAAAUGCGUAGAUAUCAGGAGGAACACCGGUGGCGAAGGCGGCCUGCUGGACUGCAACUGACGUUGAGGCCCGAAAGCGUGGGGAGCAAACAGGAUUAGAUACCCCAGUAGUC
rnacentral:rRNA from 1 species